rnacentral:tRNA from 1 species
GCAGUCGUAGCUGAGUGGUUGAGGCGAUGGACUAGAAUUCCAUUCGGGUCUUCCCGCACAAGUUCGAAUCCCGUCUAAUCCG